rnacentral:rRNA from 1 species
UGCGUUCGAUUACAAAGCGGAUGUGAACUUGCAGAAACGGACGUGCACGGGGAAGAUUUAUCUGUCGGAUAACCUUGACUAUGUAAUGACAACCGUAGCCUUGUUGUCGU